rnacentral:rRNA from 1 species
CCUACGGGUGGCAGCAGUGAGGAAUAGUGGUCAAUGGACGAGAGUCUGAACCAGCCAAGUAGCGUGAAGGAUGACUGCCCUAUGGGUUGUAAACUUCUUUUAUAUGGGAAUAAAAUGUUCCACGUGUGGGAUUUUGUAUGUACCAUAUGAAUAAGGAUCGGCUAACUCCGUGCCAGCAGCCGCGGUAAUACGGAGGAUCCGAGCGUUAUCCGGAUUUAUUGGGUUGAAAGGGAGCGUAGGGGGAUUGUUAAGUCAGUUGUGCAAGUUUGCGGCUCAACCGUAAAAUUGCAGGUGAAACUGGCAGUCUUGCGUACAGUAGAGGUGGUCGGACUUCGUGGUGUAGCGGUGCAAUGCUUAGCUUUCACGAAGCACUCCGAUUGCGAAGGCAGCUCACUGGACUGCACCUGACACUGAGGCUCG